UACGUAGGGUGCAAGCGUUGUCCGGAAUUAUUGGGCGUAAAGAGCUCGUAGGCGGUUUGUCGCGUCUGCUGUGAAAACUCGGGGCUUAACCCCGGGCCUGCAGUGGGUACGGGCAGACUAGAGUGCGGUAGGGGAGACUGGAAUUCCUGGUGUAGCGGUGAAAUGCGCAGAUAUCAGGAGGAACACCGGUGGCGAAGGCGGGUCUCUGGGCCUUACCUGACGCUCAGGCACGAAAGCGUGGGGAGCGAACAGG
rnacentral:rRNA from 1 species